rnacentral:rRNA from 1 species
GACGAACGCUGGCGGCGUGCUUAACACAUGCAAGUCGAACGGGUCUGCCCUGUUUUUUGCGGGGUGGGUCAGUGGCGAACGGGUGAGUAACACGUGAGUAACCUGCCCCUCACUUCUGGAUAACCGCUUGAAAGGGUGGCUAAUACGGGGUGUUCUGGCUGUGCCGCAUGGUGUGGCUGGGAAAGAUUCACUUUUGUGGUGUUUUGGUGGGGGAUGGGCUCGCGGCCUAUCAGCUUGUUGGGGGGGUGAUGGCCUGCCAAGGCUUUGACGGGUAGCCGGCCUGGGAGGGUGGGCGGUCACACUGGGGCUGAGAUACGGCCCAGACUCCUGCGGGAGGCAGCAGUGGGGGGUAUUGCACAAUGGGCGGAAGCCUGAUGCAGCGACGUCGCGUGAGGGAUGGAGGCCUUCGGGUUGUGAACCUCUUUCGCCGGUGAAGAAGGUCCUGCUCUUUGUGGUGGGGUUGACGGUAGCCGGGUUAUGAAGCGCCGGCUAACUACGUG